rnacentral:rRNA from 1 species
GUUGGUGGGGUAAAGGCCUACCAAGGCGACGAUCCGUAGCUGGUCUGAGAGGAUGAUCAGCCACAUUGGGACUGAGACACGGCCCAAACUCCUACGGGAGGCAGCAGUGGGGAAUAUUGGACAAUGGGGGCAACCCUGAUCCAGCGAUGCCGCGUGUGUGAAGAAGGCCUUCGGGUUGUAAAGCACUUUAGGUGGGGAAGAAAAGUAACGGUUGAAUAAACUGUUAUUUUGACGGUACCCGCAGAAUAAGCACCGGCUAACUCUGUGCCAGCAGCCGCGGUAAUACAGAGGGUGCGAGCGUUAAUCAGAAUUACUGGGCGUAAAGGGCGUGUAGGUGGUUGACUAGGUUUGAUGUGAAAUCCCCGGGCUUAACCUGGGAAUGGCGUCGAAAACGGGUCGACUGGAGUGAGACAGAGGGUUGUGGAAUUUCCGGUGUAGCGGUGAAAUGCGUAGAUAUCGGAAAGAACAUCAGUGGCGAAGGCGACAACCUGGGUCUUAACUGACACUGAGGCGCGAAGGCGUGGGGAGCAAACAGGAUUAGAUACCCUGGUAGUCCACGCGAUAAACGAUGAGAACUAGCUGUGAGGUGUGGGGCAUUGCUCUGCGCGACGUAGGCGAA